GAGUUUGAUCGUGGCUCAGGAUGAACGCUAGCUGGAGGCUUAAUACAUGCAAGUCGAGCGGGAUUGGGUAGCAAUACCCAUGAGAGCGGCGCACGGGUGAGUAACGCGUACACGACCUACCUCUAACAGGGGGAUAGCCCUGGGAAACUGGGAUUAAUACCGCAUAUUAUUCUGAAUAAUAAAGGCUUGGAAUGAAAGCUGAGGCGGUUAGAGAUGGGUGUGCGUCUGAUUAGCUAGUUGGUGGGGUAACGGCCUACCAAGGCGAUGAUCAGUAGGGGGCGUGAGAGCGUGGUCCCCCACACGGGUACUGAGACACGGACCCGACUCCUACGGGAGGCAGCAGUAAGGAAUAUUGGUCAAUGGGCGAAAGCCUGAACCAGCCAUCCAGCGUGCAGGAAGAAGGCCCUAUGGGUUGUAAGCUGCUUUUAUCAGGGAAGAAACCUCUGGAUUCACUCCGGGAGCUGACGGUACCUGAAGAAUAAGCACCGGCUAACUCCGUGCCAGCAGCCGCAGUAAC
rnacentral:rRNA from 2 species